GACAGAGGUGCCAAGCGUUAGGCGGAAUCACUGGGCUUAAAGCGUGUGUAGGCGGACGCCUAAGUGUCUUGUGAAAUCCCCCGGCUCACCCGGGGAACUGCUGGGCAUACUGGGCGUCUUGGGCCAACUAGGGGCAACUGGAACAAGCGGUGGAGCGGUGAAAUGCGUAGAUAUCGCUUGGAACGCCGAAGGUGAAAACAGGUUGCUGGGGUUGUGCCGACGCUGAGACACGAAAGCCAGGGGAGCAAACGGG
rnacentral:rRNA from 1 species